GGUUACAUUACACUAAAUCAUUGUGUAUCCCUCCGUGGUCCAUUCGAAAGUAGUGCCUAUUUCUAAAGAGUUCCUUUUCUCUUCUUGAAUAUAAGCCAUUUAACAAUGUGAGACAUGUCUUUUGUGGUUAUUUGUAAUAUCCUGUAUGUGUCUGGAGUACUUUGAUGCCUUGGAUUGGAAGCUAACUUAAAAGAUGAACUUUUGAGGGUGUGUUUUCUAUUGUGUGGGGCUUUUGUCGAAAUUAGGAUUCCGAAACGCGUUUUUCUACGGUGGGUUCAUUCGACAGCGAUUUACUUUCUUAGAAGUUGCGAGACGGUAUGUUUUUGAUUGCAAUUAUUGGAAGAUGACAGAUCCAUCUUUAAAAUGAUACCAGGUUCGGAAAAAUUGAUACGUCGGAAAGGCAAGAAAAAUGCUGUGAAAGUUGUCAGUUUUAUAAUGGGACCCUAUGGGAAUCGGAAUUAGUGUAAUAUAACCUUUAAAAAGCACAUUUACUGCAAUGUCAAGGUCACAUGGAUUCGUCUGCAAGCGAGACAAGUAGAAAAUGAAUUUUAAUGAAUGUUUUGAUGAUUUGGGUGCUAAAAUAGAUGAGAGAUGUCAAUAUUUUGGUCCAAAUGGAUGUUUUAGGUGGUUUUGGACUGUUCCGGAUGGGUGGGGGACCUGGUAUGGACAAGUAAGGGUAACAUUUCCAACAAAUCUUAAAUGUAAAUAUUAUUAUGUCCAUAGAUUGAAGUUUCAGGUGGAGAGCAAGAUGAAAAAUAUGCCAAAUUACAUGCAUGCAGCCCAUUUAUGCCAUUUUUCUCUUUGUUUGUAGGCCUGACCGUUUGUCCUUGAGCCGUAGUUGGUUAACAAUCCGCUAGCUGUCUUGCUCUGACUGGUGCACUGGACAUGAUUUCAAUAGUCAGCCAGACCAUGAUUGAGCUUAAGGAUUGUGCUGCGGAUGCAGCCUGUGCAGUUCCGGGAGAAAGUCACUGUCUUGGGCAAUGCGGUCUGGUAUCAGGUCUGGAUGAUCCUUGCCUGACUGCGGGUUUGUGUACACCUCAAUCCGACUCUGUGUCCUGAACAGAGGCCGCAGUGGUGCAGCGCUUGUGGACGAUCCAUCAACAUCCUGAAAGGUCAACACUACACCAAGCUGGGAAAACUGAUCCUGAUAGUCAUCCCCAGGUAGUGGAAUGAAUGUACACUGAACUACAGAGGAAUCACACCCAAAUGACUUUCCUGCCACGACAUUAGUGUGGCCACUCGCGUAGGAAUUCCUUAGCAAACGUGCUCUUUUGCAUGGUGACUGUGGGCAUUUUUGCAAAACUUACGCUUUCAACACUGGAUUUUAAAGAGAAUACUUAAUAAAAUGUCGCUAACAGGACUUAUUUAUAUGAGAGAGACUAUCUGGAUGCGCAUUAAGUGUCACUUUGUGUCGUAAGCUGUUGAAGGAGCGAUUUGCGCCUUUUUAAGUGUUAAUUUUGGGUAGCCGGCUUGUAUCGGCUUGAAAGCUGCAAAUUAUGCCUCUCAUCAUAAUAGCAUUAAUUUUUGUAAUUGCAAUGUGUAUGUUUAGAUUGUAAGUGAAGCUUUUAAUAAUAAUUUUCUUAAAAAACAUGA